rnacentral:tRNA from 1 species
GGCUUUAUAGUCAAUAUAUGAUAUUAGACUGCAAUUCUAAAGUAGUAAUUUUACUAAAGCCU